rnacentral:rRNA from 1 species
UGAGGAAUAUUGGGCAAUGCCCGAAAGGGUGACCCAGCAACGCCGCGUGGAGGAUGAAGGUCGUAAGAUUGUAAACUCCUGUUAGAGGGGAAGAAUAACUAAGUUUGGAGCUUAGUAUGACUGUACCCUCAGAGAAAGCCCCGGCUAACUACGUGCCAGCAGCCGCGGUAAUACGUAGGGGGCAAGCGUUGUCCGGAUUUACUGGGUGUAAAGGGCGCGCAGGCGGAAUGGAAAGUCAGUGGUGAAAUCCUACAGCUUAACUGUAGAACUGCCUUUGAUACUUUCAUUCUUGAGUUCGGGAGAGAGAGACGGAAUUCCAGGUGUAGUGGUGAAAUACGUAGAUAUCUGGAAGAACACCAGUUGCGAAGGCGGUCUCUUGGUCCGAUACUGACGCUGAGGCGCGAAAGCGUGGGGAGCAAACAGGAUUAGAGACCCCGGUAG